CUCACCCUUUCUUUUUGAAGUUUAGACGGCGGCGUCAGGCAUUGAACUUACCUUAACAUAAAAAUGCAAGGUGGUGAAAGAAUAAAGCUUUAUGUUGGCUCUUUGCCUUUUGAUACAAGAGGACCAGACCUCGAGGAAAUGUUUUCAAAAUAUGGAACACCACAUAAUGCUCAUGUGGUGAUGGAAAAAGAUGAUGAGACAAGAUCUCGUGGCUUUGGUUUUGUCGAAUUCGAAACUUCAGAGGAAGCAGAAGCAGCUAUUAAUGGAUUAAAUGAGACUCCACUUGGCCAUAGACACAUAAUGGUUCAGCAUGCUGGUAAGCCUGCUAGUGGUAAACCCCCACAAAGAAGAGGUAGAGGAGGUCCUGGUGGGGGCAGAGGUGGUCGUGGUUUUGGUGGUGGGUUUGGUGGACGAGGUGGAAGAGGAGGUGGUUUCGAUCGAGGAGGUAGAGGUGGGAGGGGUGGACGUGGUGGGUUUGACCGUGGUGGUAGAGGGCCCAGGGGAGGCAGUGGACGUGGUGGAUAUGGUGGUAGAGGAGGACGAGGAAGAGGCGGGUACGGAAAUGAUAGUUAUGGCAGUGGAGGUGGUUAUAAUCAAGGAGGAGGGUAUGGUGGAAACAGUGGAAGUAGCUAUAACAGUAAUGAUUAUAGUGGAAAUUACAGUAGCGGGGGUCAAGGGGGUGGAUAUGGAGGAAACAGUUAUAGUGGUUCUAACCAAGCUGCAUCAGGUGGUUAUGAUAGUGCUCAAACUUCAUAUGGUGGUGGCCAGAAUUCAUAUGGUGCAAAUCAAGGCGGGUAUGGUGGCAGUACAGGUGGAUAUGGAGCAUCCCAACAGAGCAACCAGUCAAGCUAUGGGGGCAAUCAACAAAGUUAUGGUAAUAGUAACAGUUAUGGCGGUGGCUAUGGAAGUGGUGGACAAAAUUCAUAUGGUAGCAGUGGCGGUUAUGGACAACAAAGCACCAACACUCAAGGUGGAGGUGGCGGGGGUAGAAAUUAGAUCACUACGCUUAUGACCGAUGUGGUUCUAUUAUAAAUCGUCGUUCAAAAAUGAUGUUAUUCGGCAAAUUCUGUAAAAAGUUGCUGACUUAUAUUUUGAGUUCAUUCUUGUUACGAAUGGCCACUUCCGAAGGUAGGUAUGAUGCAAGCUUACGGUAAGUAUUUCCCAAGAAGAAGAAACUUUCCCGUCAACCACGUUAAAAUCUCUUUUAGUUACGAAAACAUUGAGUCCUUUGCGUUUAAAAACCUAACGGGUAGGUUUUUAUCAAAUCUCGAAUCUCCUCAAUUUUAGUUUUAAAACCUGUGACUUGUAACAAGUUUUAAAACUAAAAAUGAAAAAUCAAAACAAUGUUCUAAUUUCGAAAUUCCUAGAACUGCAUGGGGCACGGUAUUUCCUAUAAAAUCUCAAUUUCUUUGAAAAAUUAUGAUGUCCUCAUUUUUUUUUUAUUAUUUUUUUUAUGUAAAAAUCCCGUCAUCUCAAAAUAGGUCAAAUUCUUGUGAAAAGUAUUCACAUCCCAAAUUUUACACUAAGAGUGGCAACCCUAUUAACUUUUCUGUUUAAAAAAUCUUCUGUCUGAAAUUUAGAACUUCAUGUUAAUUUGAGAUUUCAGAGCCCAGGAAGUGGUCUUGGACGCAGAAAACGCUUUAGUUGAUUUUGGAAGCUGGCAUCCUCAAGUGUAUACAAUUAAUCCUAAUACUACUUUUUUUUCAAGAAAAUAAAUUCUUUAAAAA